rnacentral:lncRNA from 1 species
GAAUCGGUUAGAUCGAAUAUGCUUUCUUCAUAUCUAUAUAUUUGUUAAAAUGCUCAUUUUUUAAAACUAUUUUAAUUAUGAUUUCUUAAUUUAAUAAAAAUUUAGAUUAAUUGUAUUAGAAAACCCUAAACUAUGACUCAAAUUCUAGAUUGGUCCUUAAAUUUUAAAACAUUUUAAAUUGGUUCCUAAACUAUAGCGCCUAAAGGUGGAUUGAUCUUUUUUAUACCAUUGUACACAUACGAGGCCAGGUUCCACCUUCCCCUCCAUUUUUU